AUUUGCCUUGAAUUUGUGCACUUUUCUAAUCCUGCAGGCAUCAGUUGCAAAUGCACUGCCCGUGGUUGACAUGUGCAGACAGUGGUUGUCAAAGUACAAAUUUGGCGUCUAGCUCCUGGAAGUAAACACAAGGAUGUCAUUAACUUGGUGGAAAAGAUGGUUGCAUGAUCGACAAAUGUUAAGGAAACAAGAAGUUAUUGAAGCACCAUAAUAAAGGAGGGUGGGGCAGACUUUCUGGACCGAGAUUCUAAUCGAGUGUUUAUUUUUGCAGGUUGUAAAUUCUUGUAAGACAUGAAUAGCUGUUGUAAUGGCUAAUGGCUCGUAUCUGUAUCAAUUGCAGGAGGGUGGG